rnacentral:misc_RNA from 1 species
GUCAAAGCUAUUGACACGUAGAAUUUUCACUAUUGACAGAAUAUCCGCUUGGUGGCGCUACUUGGAGUGACCCAUAAAUAUGACAUCGAUUUUCAUUCCGAUGUCUUGGCCUUUUAUUACUAUACAGAAUCAGGAGAAAGCAAGGAAGCAACCUACAGUCUGGAGAAAAUUUCAGAGAUUUUUUUGACAGCUAGUAGUUCAAAAGUAUGACCACAGAUGGCGUGAAUAACAUAAACAAAAGCAAGGAAGCAACCUAGAGUCUGGAGAACAUGAACAAUUAUGGGUGGAAGCUAACGAAUUAGCAAAAGAAUGGGCAAAUACGUUAACAAAUCUACCGAUUCCGGCAUUCCAAGGCCAACUGAACGCCAUGAAACACUUGAUCGAGUGUGCGAAAAAUAACACCACAAUCAACUUCAACGAAAAGAUCAUACCAACAGAAGAGAAAGAGGCAACCAACCUUGUGAAUGAGCCAUUUAUGCCAAUAGCCAUACCAAAUUCCACUGCAUGCGAAACACACGAACAACUAGCUUUAAACAUAGAAGACGAUAUCACGAAAAUGGCGAAAGAACUAAAUUCCAAUCAGCAUAAUAUAGAUGAACAAAAGCUAAUGGAAACAGAGGUUCAACAAAUCACAGAAGUAGUGAAUGAACUCGUAGUCGUACCUGACGUCAACAAAAAAAAGAGUGAAAGAUUGAAGAAACUAAAACAAUUGAAACUUGUAAACAUAAAAAGACGACAGGGUAAACCAAGAACAACUAAAAAGCUUGAUAAAUACAAGUACAGUCCCAAACCAUUCCUGAAAAAAAAAAAUCACACGAGAAAAAUAGAAUGUUUCUUUCAUGGAUAACAGGAAAAGAGAAAGCUAACUACCUGUUACUCAACCAACAAAAAGCUGAUCGAAAACAUCUCACCCAUGCCACCCAAAUGAGUACAGCAGUUAUCGAAGAUGAUGUACAAAGCGUAUUACAAUCAUUUGAAAACCUAUUCACUGAAGAAGGAUGGAAACAACUAAUGACAAACAUUCAUGAACGAAAUCAAACAACACUGGAAUACAUCUGUCCAACUUGCCGCAAACCUGAAGGCACC